UGAAAGAAAAAGAAGAAAAAGAGGAAGAGGAAGAGGAAGGAGAAGAAAAUGAGGAAAAGGAAGAGAAGAUAGAAGAAAAUGUGGAUUUAGUUGAACAGAGUUCUGUUCAAAGCUCCCUUUUGUCUAGUAGAGUUUCACCAGAUCGAAGGUGUUCUGCGAGGUUUCUCAGUAAAAGUGUUGCCCUGACAUUAAGACAACUACAGAGGGAUGAAUACAAUGCAACAGUUGCUCAACUCGUUAGGAAUCAAUUAAUCAUUCAAAUAAUUUAAUUAAUUAGUAAGUCAUUUAGAAAAUCAGUCUUUUAUCCUUUAAUGAAUAGAAGGGAGGAUGAAUAAAUGAAUAAAAGAAUAGAAGUAAGGAUGAAUAAAUGAAUAAAAG